rnacentral:lncRNA from 1 species
AUCCAUGUUGACCAAGCACAUACCUCACAGUCCUAGCCUAUGCAAUAGGGAUGGGCAGGUGAUCUGACUGCAGCCCCCAAGCCUCAGCUUCUGGCUUGUGCUGGGAAGUUGAAGAAGAAUCCCCUUUCUCUUCCAGAUGAGCUGGGAAGAUGUUGACCAUCUUGCAAAAUGCAGCAUGUCGAGAUGAACUGGCCAUCAGAUGCCCCUUACCAGUGGGGAUGUGUCUUGAGGAGUGUAUCGGUACAACAUUUGAAAAUGGAGGAAUGCAAGAGGAAAAAUUUGAAACUUAAAACUCCAUGAUAUGAAAAGGAGAGCAAAUGAGUACAAAGGAUUCUUUUUGGGGAUUAGAGGAAUGAUUAUAGAAACAGGUAACGAUGAUAGCAAAAACUGAUAAGAAAUAGAAGCCAUAAAAAUAGAGAUAAAAAGAAAUUACACAGGAACUAAAAGUAAGAGUAAAAAUUAAAAGGGAGAAAAGGAAAAAAGAAAAAGGAAAAAGAAAAAGAAAAGAAGAAGAAAAAGAGAUAAGAAGCUAGAAAAGAGAAAAGGAAAAAAUAAAGAAAAGAAGAAGAAAAAGAGAUAAGAAGCACAGAAGAAGGACAAAGGAAUAUUCCCUAAGCCCCAACAAGCUGAUGAAGAAAGGAGAAAAGGAAAGAAGACAAAAGCAAAAACAAAACAACAACAACAACAACAAAACUUACACAUAAAAAACAAAAACUAAAUUUCUCUUUGAUUUGAAAUGUGUGGUUUUUAUCUGUGAUCUACAAUCUCAGGGCAAUGUCUAAGUCAAGAUAUGUCCCUGCUCACUCUGGAAGAUAAAGAAGGCACUCAGACUCCAGGUCCAUUCUGGAUGCAGUGGGAUUAUGGCAGGAGUACAAAUGCCAUGGCUUUUAAAUCCAGAGCAAUUCAGGCUGAGCCUGGCUUCUGACCACACAGACAGAGCCUGGGGGUCUCUUACCAUCCUGACCAUAGUUGCUUGAGCACAACUGUCUCCCGUGGCUGUCUCUCACACAGUCACGGUGCAAACAUAGCCCUGGGAGCCCUAAAGUGAAGCUAUCCUGCAGCUGCCUUCAGUCCCAUGGUUGAACAAACAACCCUCCCCAGAAUGAUUUCUGACCAAG